rnacentral:rRNA from 1 species
CUCUACGGCCAUGCUGCCCUGAACACGCCUGAUCUCGUCUGACUUCGGAAGCAAAGCAGGGUCGGGUCUGGUUAGUACUUGGAUAGGAGACCACCUAGGAAGACCGGGCGCUGUAGGCG